UACAGAGGGUGCAAGCGUUGUUCGGAAUUAUUGGGCGUAAAGAGCUCGUAGGCGGUGUGUCACGUCGGCCGUGAAAACCUGCAGCUUAACUGUGGGCGUGCGGUCGAUACGGGCAUCACUGGAGUUCGGCAGGGGAGACUGGAAUUCCUGGUGUAGCGGUGAAAUGCGCAGAUAUCAGGAGGAACACCGGUGGCGAAGGCAGCCCCCUGGGAUAACACUGACGCUCAUGCACGAAAGCGUGGGGAGCAAACAGG
rnacentral:rRNA from 1 species